rnacentral:lncRNA from 1 species
UGGAGCAGAGCUUAUCAUGUGCAAUUUGGCACAUGGGGCUAGUGAGGGGACAGUGGAGCUGAUCCCUGGAGCUGAGGCAGGUGACACAGAGCCAGCAGAGCAGCAGUGGUGGGUGCUGCUGGUACAGAUGUGUGUGCCACAGGAGAUGGGCAUGGACAGGGUCCAAUCCAGCCAGCAAAAGCCAGGGUUGGUUGGUCAGAUGAAUGAUGCUGCCUCCUGCAGCUCCCAUUCCCCAUGGCUGUGCCCCAGGAGCUCAAGGCAUUAGGAGCAGAGGGAAUCUCUACGCUGGCAAGAUUCAGAGAGGCACAAAGGAGGGAAAAACAAGUUUCAGCCAGAAGAGAGGGAAAAAAAAAAAAAAAAGGAUGCUGUUAGCAUUCCCUGUAUUUGAGGGGGUAAAAACAUUUUGCUGUCAACUCUGUUUUAAAGGGUAAGUGACAAGGGCAGCCCAGUUACUAUGCAAAUAAAUCCUGUGCUCAGCCUUUUUCUCUCA